rnacentral:rRNA from 1 species
UUUUUGUUUGAGCAAUGGAGGGACGCAGGAGGCUAAGGAAUGCAGACGAUUGGAAAUGUCUGUCUAAGCAGUAAGUCUUGAUAGGAGUCAAAUGCUUCUAUCUGUACGGACAAGCUGUGAUGGGGAGGGAAAUAAUAGUACCGAAGUUCCUGAUGUCACACUGCCGAGAAAAGCUUCUAGUGAGAAAACAACGACCCGUACCGCAAACCGACACAGGUAGUCGAGGAGAGAAUCCUAAGGUGAGCGAGAGAACUCUCGUUAAGGAACUCGGCAAAAUGACCCCGUAACUUCGGGAGAAGGGGUGCUGAUCUAAGAUCAGCCGCAGUGAAUAGGCCCAAGCGACUGUUUAUCAAAAACACAGGUCUCUGCAAAAUCGUAAGAUGAAGUAUAGGGGCUGACGCCUGCCCGGUGCUGGAAGGUUAAGAGGAGUGCUUAGCGUAUGCGAAGGUACGAAUUGAAGCCCCAGUAAACGGCGGCCGUAACUAUAACGGUCCUAAGGUAGCGAAAUUCCUUGUCGGGUAAGUUCCGACCCGCACGAAAGGCGUAACGAUUUGGGCACUGUCUCAACGAGAGACUCGGUGAAAUUUUAGUACCUGUGAAGAUGCAGGUUACCCGCGACAGGACGGAAAGACCCCAUGGAGCUUUACUGUAGUUUGAUAUUGAGUGUCUGUACCGCAUGUACAGGAUAGGUAGGAGCCGUAGAAAUCGGAACGCUAGUUUCGAUGGAGGCGCUGGUGGGAUACUACCCCUGCG